rnacentral:rRNA from 1 species
AACGCUGGCGGCGUGCUUAACACAUGCAAGUCGAACGAACCUUCGGGUUAGUGGCGGACGGGUGAGUAACGCGUGAGAAUCUGCCCUCAGGAGGGGGACAACAGCUGGAGACGGCUGCUAAUACCCCAUAUGCCGCGAGGUGAAAUGAAUUUCGCCUGAGGAUGAGCUCGCGUCUGAUUAGCUAGUUGGUGUAGGUAAUGGCUCACCAAGGCAUCGAUCAGUAGCUGGUCUGAGAGGAUGAUCAGCCACACUGGGACUGAGACACGGCCCAGACUCCUACGGGAGGCAGCAGUGGGGAAUUUUCCGCAAUGGGCGAAAGCCUGACGGAGCAACGCCGCGUGAGGGAUGAAGGCCUCUGGGCUGUAAACCUCUUUUAUCAAGGAAGAAGAUCUGACGGUACUUGAUGAAUAAGCCACGGCUAAUUCCGUGCCAGCAGCCGCGGUAAUACGGGAGUGGCAAGCGUUAUCCGGAAUUAUUGGGCGUAAAGCGUCCGCAGGCGGCCCUUCAAGUCUGCUGUUAAAAAGUGGAGCUUAACUCCAUCAUGGCAGUGGAAACUGUUGGGCUUGAGUGUGGUAGGGGCAGAGGGAAUUCCCGGUGUAGCGGUGAAAUGCGUAGAUAUCGGGAAGAACACCAGUGGCGAAGGCGCUCUGCUGGGCCAUCACUGACGCUCAUGGACGAAAGCCAGGGGAGCGAAAGGGAUUAGAUACCCCUGUAGUCCUGGCCGUAAACGAUGAACACUAGGUGUCGGGGGAAUCGACCCCCUCGGUGUCGUAGCCAACGCGUUAAGUGUUCCGCCUGGGGAGUACGCACGCAAGUGUGAAACUCAAAGGAAUUGACGGGGGCCCGCACAAGCGGUGGAGUAUGUGGUUUAAUUCGAUGCAACGCGAAGAACCUUACCAGGGUUUGACAUCCUGCGAAUCUCUUGGAAACAGGAGAGUGCCUUCGGGAACGCAGUGACAGGUGGUGCAUGGCUGUCGCCAGCUCGUGUCGUGAGAUGUUGGGUUAAGUCCUGCAACGAGCGCAACCCACGUCUUUAGUUGCCAGCAUUUAGUUGGGCACUCUAGAGAGACUGCCGGUGAUAAACCGGAGGAAGGUGUGGAUGACGUCAAGUCAUCAUGCCCCUUACAUCCUGGGCUACACACGUACUACAAUGCUACGGACAAAGGGCAGCAAGUUCGCGAGGACAAGCAAAUCCCAUAAACCGUGGCUCAGUUCAGAUCGUAGGCUGCAACUCGCCUACGUGAAGGCGGAAUCGCUAGUAAUCGCAGGUCAGCAUACUGCGGUGAAUACGUUCCCGGGCCUUGUACACACCGCCCGUCACACCAUGGAAGUUGGCCACGCCCGAAGCCGUUACUCCAACCCUUGUGGAGGAGGACGUCGAAGGUGGGGCUGAUGACUGGGGUGAAGUCGUAACA